AGGGACCAUGAUUCACUGUUCAGGAUGGUCUAUGAAGGAAUGUGGAUUAACGAUAAACCCGCACAAGAAGCAGCCGAGAUCGUGAUCCUCGGUGAACAGAUCAUCGAGCUCCAGCAGGGCCAGCCUUUCACCAUUGAGGUGGAGGUCAGGACGGCCGAUGGCGAGGUCGUCGACUGCGAGCAGAACCGUCGGCUGAGGGUAUCAGCAGGUUUCAAGCACUACGUCCCUAACCAGGGAAUGCCGCUCUUUGAUCUCAUAGAAGAGAUGGAAGAAAUACCCAUCCCAACACCAUAUGGUUACGAGGUUGUAGCCUACCCCCUCACGGACUACGACAAUCUGAAAGAGAAGUUAUCAGAAUCUGUCUUAAAGCCUUCAACUGCUGCCACAGAUGCGCUGACUGUGGUAACGGAUGCCAUGACUGCAGAUAAUGUCAGUGUAACGUUAGAAGAGGACGGGGAAGGAGAGGCGGAGCUUGGACCAGAGGUUGCACCAAGCACUGAGAUACCGCCUAGUACAGCUGCUGAAACGACGAUAGCCCCUAGCGAGAUGACAGGAGAUGAGAUCUCGGAGUCACCCCUCCCUCCCCUGUCGAUCAUAGAGUAGUGGAAAAAGGAAAAGCAGAAUUCUUGGAUGUAGUUCUGCCUCCCGCUCCAUUUGGCUAUCAACCAUUCUCCAUCCUCGACAUCACCCUUGAGGAAGAAGCCCAGAAGAAGGCCAAGAACUCCAAAACGGCCGGUCUAGCGAACCAGCUUAGGAUCGGGGCCAAACUCAACAAGAGUAUAGAUGAACUUCACGUGAAAUCAGAUCAAUUUUCUGUCGAUAAACUCAAGGACUUCAAGCUGAGCAAAGCAAAGAGAGAGAAGUACUAUGGCGACCUCAGAUAUGCAAGACCAGGUGAAUACGUGAUAAUGGUCGAUGACAUCACUGAGCCCCCUUUCCGCGGGUUCCGUCUUCCUACGGCUUUCUGUCUGGUGCGGAUAGCCUUCCCCAAGAAAACCAAGAAAGUGACGAAAUCCAAGAAGGAUUCUAAGUCGAGCACCAAGUUGGCUGCAGGAGGUGACUGACACAUGGACAGAUGAUGAACAGAUGAAUUGGAAGCCACGAUUGUUGUCAACUAGUCACAACAGAUUUCGACCGGUCACAACUGGAUUGGCCACAACUAGUUCCAGCUUCCACCUUUUUGUGGAACAAUUUACACUUAAAUUGUAUUUGAAUGUGUUUGAAACAAGUGCUUGCUUUGAACUCCAAGGGAGUGUUUCAACAAAGGAACUGUCAGAUGUUUUAUAUGACAAAGUCUGUUUUUUUUAUCCAUCAUUUACCACAAUAACAGUGCUUCUCAGCCAAUCAAAAUCAAGGAAAGUUGUCAUAUCUGACAACCCUGUCAGAUCACAAAUUUUGAUAAAACGCUCCAUUAGGCUCUGUAAGGCGAUGGUUUGCACACAACCUUCAAAUCGCAAUGCCCAAUCCAGAUCAUUGUUUCACGUGCAUUUUGUUCAAAAUGCUGACCAGGAACCAAUCAGAUUGGUGCUUUCAUAUCUGCCAUCCAUUGCAAACAUUUGUGUUUCGGGGGUUGCAUUUUGGUCAAAUGGAUUCUGGAGCAAAGGAUCUUUUCAAGAAGAGAUGGAGAAAAUGAAAGUCUGAAUCUUGGUUGUGUUGUAGACUUGCUGCUGAGAGGAAAGAUUCUGUUCAAGAAGACUGU